UACGUAGGGUGCAAGCGUUAAUCGGAAUUACUGGGCGUAAAGCGUGCGCAGGCGGUUUUGUAAGUCUGUCGUGAAAGCCCCGGGCUCAACCUGGGAAUUGCGAUGGAGACUGCAAGGCUUGAAUCUGGCAGAGGGGGGUAGAAUUCCACGUGUAGCAGUGAAAUGCGUAGAGAUGUGGAAGAACACCGAUGGCGAAGGCAGCCCCCUGGGUCAAGAUUGACGCUCAUGCACGAAAGCGUGGGGAGCAAACAGG
rnacentral:rRNA from 1 species